rnacentral:rRNA from 1 species
AGAGUUUGAUCAGUGGCUCAGGACGAACGCUGGCGGCACGCUUAACACAUGCAAGUCGAACGGAGGUAUUUUAGUUUACUGAGGUACCUUAGUGGCGGACGGGUGAGUAACACGUGAGCAACCUGCCUUUUAGAGAGGGAUAGCUUCUGGAAACGGAUGGUAAUACCUCAUGACAUACAGACACCGCAUGAUGACUGUAUCAAAGAUUAAUCACUAAAAGAUGGGCUCGCGUCUGAUUAGGUAGUUGGUGAGGUAACGGCUCACCAAGCCGACGAUCAGUAGCCGGACUGAGAGGUUGAACGGCCACAUUGGGACUGAGACACGGCCCAGACUCC